GAGGAUCAUCUCUCCCAGAUAAUGGCACUCUCAAACGAGUUUCCAGUUGUUUGAAAGGCUAUUUCUUGGUCAGAAGACUCUC
rnacentral:pre_miRNA from 13 species